GGAGGGGCCUGUGGAGGGCAGCCAAAGCCCAGGCUCAUGCCUGUGAGGGAGUGAGGGCAGGCAACAGAGUUGGAGAAACUUCCUUCAGUUGUCUUUCAAAAGAAAGUCCUCUGAACCUGAGCAGAGCUUUGGCUUCCUGACUACAACAGCAAAAUCUUCCAUGGAUCCUCAUACAAGUUAUACGUGUGAGGAAAACAUUCUGUGUUUCAGGUCUGCUUCAAAGCGAGCGAGGUCUGUGUCCAGCCGCCGGAUGUGCUUAUCAACCUGGAAAGACAACAGUGACCAGGAGUCACCACAGGACAGAGCCCAGGAGGGCAAAGAAGAGGGGGCUUGCACUAAAGAGCCGAGAAGCAAAGAGCGGGCAGGGCCUAAAAAUGAGAGAUCAAGGCCUUUCAAGACUGGGGGCUUUAGUUUGGACUUUCACCCGAUAAGCACUAGACACUUCCCUUCAUACCAUCUCGUAGGUCUGCAUAGCCAGCUGAACCUUGUCGUCCCCAAACUCCUUGCACUUCCCAUAGGC